CUUUACUUUUAGUCCUCCAUCAGUUUCCUAACAUUGUACAUAGGCUAAAAAUAGGCAGGCUUCACAGUUUAUCAGGUGUAAUCCUUCUGAAUCCAAAGAUCUUAGAGCCAAGUCAAAAUGAACCACAAAAACAUCCUCAAAAAGCUGUUACGAUUCCUUGGCGGAGACAAACAAGGACUGGCAAACUGGAGUACGUGGGGCAGACGACAGACGGACCACGGAACGAAAUCAAGGUAGAUAACGAGUUAUACAGGGCGUAGGCAGAAACGUAGUCAAAAGACAAGCGAAUAUCGAAACCAGAUAAACGGAUACAAAACUAAGGCUUGGUGCACGAAAGAGACGAGUCUGCUGAGCGUUUACUUCGCAAGAAGCUAACGUUAACGAGGCCCUUUUAUAACUUCUGAUGUAGCGCAGGUGUUCGUAAUCAGUACUCCGGCGAACUCGAGCACGG
ensembl:lncRNA